rnacentral:rRNA from 1 species
AACAGGAUUAGAUACCCUGGUAGUCCACCCCGUAAACGUUGGGAACUAGUUGUGGGGUCCAUUCCACGGAUUCCGUGACGCAGCUAACGCAUUAAGUUCCCCGCCUGGGGAGUACGGCCGCAAGGCUAAAACUCAAAGGAAUUGACGGGGACCCGCACAAGCGGCGGAGCAUGCGGAUUAAUUCGAUGCAACGCGAAGAACCUUACCAAGGCUUGACAUAUACGAGAACACUCUGGAAACAGAGGACUCUUUGGACACUCGUAUACAGGUGGUGCAUGGUUGUCGUCAGCUCGUGUCGUGAGAUGUUGGGUUAAGUCCCGCAACGAGCGCAACCCUCGUUCUAUGUUGCCAGCACGUUAUGGUGGGAACUCAUGGGAUACCGCCGGGGUCAACUCGGAGGAAGGUGGGGAUGACGUCAAAUCAUCAUGCCCCUUAUGUCUUGGGCUUCACGCAUGCUACAAUGGCCGGUACAAAGGGCUGCAAUACCGUGAGGUGGAGCGAAUCCCAAAAAGCCGGUCCCAGUUCGGAUUGAGGUCUGCAACUCGACCUCAUGAAGUCGGAGUCGCUAGUAAUCGCAGAUCAGCAACGCUGCGGUGAAUACGUUCCCGGGUCUUGUACACACCGCCCGUCAAGUCAUGAAAGUCGGUAACACCUGAAGCCGGUGGCCUAACCCUUGUGGAGGGAGCCGUCGAAGGUGGGAUCGGUAAUUAGGACUAAGUCGUAACAAGGUAACCGUA